rnacentral:rRNA from 1 species
UACGAGAGGUGCAAACGUUAUUCGGAAUCAUUGGGCGUAAAGGGCGCGCAGGCGGUACAUUAAGUCUGCUGUUAAAUCCUCCGGCCUAACUGGAGAUCUGCAGUAGAAACUGGUGUGCUUGAGAGUGGAAGAGAGAAGUGGAAUUCUCGGAGUAGCGGUAAAAUGCGUAGAUCUCGAGAGGAACACCGAUGGCGAAGGCAGCUUCUUGGUCCAUUUCUGACGCUGAGGCGCGAAAGCGUGGGGAGCAAACAGG